CCCUUAGACGUUCUGGGCCGCACGCGCGCUACACUGACCGGUGCAACAAGCAUCCGUCCUUGGCCGACAGGCCCGGGCAAUCUUUGAACGCCGGUCGUGAUGGGGAUAGACUUUUGCAAUUUUUGGUCUUCAACGAGGAAUUCCUAGUAAACGCAAGUCAUCAACUUGCAUUGAUUACGUCCCUGCCCUUUGUACACACCGCCCGUCGCACCUACCGAUUGAAUGGUCCGGUGAAGCCUCCGGAUUGGUGCGCACCUCGGUGCCGCCGAGAAGUUGGCUAAACCUUACCAUUUAGAGGAAGGUGAAGUCGUAACA
rnacentral:rRNA from 1 species